rnacentral:rRNA from 1 species
UACGUAGGGGGGCAAGCGUUGUCCGGAAUUAUUGGGCGUAAAGAGCGUGUAGGCGGCCAGAUAAGUCCGCUGUGAAAUCUCGAGGCUCAACUUCGAGCUGUCGGUGGAAACUAUCUGGCUAGAGUCCGGAAGAGGAGAAUGGAAUUCCUGGUGUAGCGGUGAAAUGCGCAGAUAUCAGGAGGAACACCUAUUGCGAAGGCAGGUCUCUGGGCAUUAACUGACGCUGAGGCGCGAAAGCCAGGGGAGCGAACAGG